rnacentral:rRNA from 1 species
AUUGAACGCUGGCGGCAUGCCUUACACAUGCAAGUCGAACGGCAGCACGGGAGCAAUCCUGGUGGCGAGUGGCGAACGGGUGAGUAAUGUAUCGGAACGUGCCCAGUCGUGGGGGAUAACGUAGCGAAAGCUACGCUAAUACCGCAUACGAUCUAUGGAUGAAAGCGGGGGAUCGCAAGACCUCGCGCGAUUGGAGCGGCCGAUAUCAGAUUAGGUAGUUGGUGGGGUAAAGGCUCACCAAGCCGACGAUCUGUAGCUGGUCUGAGAGGACGACAAGCCACACUGGGACUGAGACACGGCCCAGACUCCUACGGGAGGCAGCAGUGGGGAAUUUUGGACAAUGGGCGCAAGCCUGAUCCAGCAAUGCCGCGUGCAGGAUGAAGGCCUUCGGGUUGUAAACUGCUUUUGUACGGAACGAAACGGCGAGCUCUAAUACAGUUUGCUAAUGACGGUACCGUAAGAAUUAGCACCGGCUAACUACGUGCCAGCCGCCGCCGUAA